GGACAGAUGGCCGAGCUGGUUAUGGCGCCAGGUUAAGGAGUUUCUUCCGCAUCCUGGUCACGAAAGUGGCGUGGGUUCGAGUCCCACUCUGUUCA
rnacentral:tRNA from 2 species